ACAGAGGCUGACAGAGCAAUUCGACAGGCUCUACAGAAGAGGGGUGCCCAGAGGGGCAUCCUCGAAGGGAGCGUGUGGGGGCGCUGCGAUGAAGAUGGAUGAGGGAAAGGCUUUUGAUGGGGGUGGGGGGGAGGCGGAUGGCCUGGAGAUGCCGAUUGCGUUUAGUUCUCUUAAGCAGAGAGAAGAAAUGGAUGCUCAGAUCCCUAAGGCUGCUCAAUAGUAGCCGCUUUGCCUGCUUGGCCCUGGUAGUGUGAAUGUUCUUCAGUCAUGCAUCAGGGUACAAGGUGCGAGCAGCCCUGAGGUUCGGACCAAAUCUGGAGGAAGAAAGGGAGGUCUCUGAGGGUCCUUGGUUUUCACUUUGCUUUGAGCUUAACUGGUUCUUUGGCUUUCCAGGAGGCCCAAGGUUGAUUUCAGCCCACCAGGAUCUGGGGAAGACCCAACUAGGGAUAAGAGCACACCAAAAGGCCAAGUCCGAGUUCCAUUUCUAGAAGAGGCGGCUUCCGGCAAGGCUAUGACAUUGGCCCUGGACAUUGGUUUCCCAGGAGCUGCUUUUUCUCAAGAACUCCACAGCACGGGGCUGUCUCCAGAAAACGCUCUUCAACGUUUAUUUCUUUUAAUCGUCGCCCGGAGCCCUAAGGCGGCUAAUGCAAGAGGCCAAAAAUGUUUGGAGGAAGAAAAACAAAGGCAGGAAGUGGCCGCGGCCUGACGGUGCGUGUGUGUCUGUAAAGAAGGGAGGGAGCCGGUUCAACCUCCCCUCGUUUUCCCGAACUUCAAGGUCUAGGCAGACCCCCUUAGGGCCUUGCCGAGGCUCGCCCCCACACCCCCAGCGGCGCAGCAUUUGGAGGUGGCCAACGAUUUAAGCCUCGGUCGGGCUGAAAGGAGAUUUGAUCGGCAGAACAAACCAACCCUUUUCGGAGGUUUCUUUUGAUUUGGUCCUAAAGGGUAUAUGCUAGUGUCCACAGCGGCUGGGGUGGCUGCUGUUUUCCUCCCGCCGGGCUAAAAGUACCAAGAAGGGAGGGAGGGAGAGAGAUUCAGGCACCUUGCGCUGGCUGCACUCUCCUUCUGAGAUAGAAUACCAGAAUAAAGUGUAUUCAGGUGCCUCUGCUGA
rnacentral:lncRNA from 1 species